rnacentral:rRNA from 1 species
CGUGGGUAACCUGCCCCAUACACAGGGAUAGCCAUUGGAAACGAUGAUUAAUACCUGAUAAAACAUAUGAAUCGCAUGAUUUAAAUGUCAAAGAUUUAUCGGUAUGGGAUGGACCCGCGUCUGAUUAGCUAGUUGGUAAGGUAAUGGCUUACCAAGGCGACGAUCAGUAGCCGACCUGAGAGGGUGAUCGGCCACACUGGAACUGAGACACGGUCCAGACUCCUACGGGAGGCAGCAGUGGGGAAUAUUGCACAAUGGGCGCAAGUGAUGCAGCAACCCGCGUGAACGAAGAAGGCUUUCGGGUCGUAAAGUUCUUUUCUUAGGGAAGAAACAUGACGGUACCUAAGGAAUAAGCACCGGCUAAAUACGUGCCAGCAGCCGCGGUAAUACGUAUGGUGCAAGCGUUAUCCGGAAUCACUGGGCGUAAAGGGUACGUAGGCGGUGAUGCAAGUCAGAAGUGAAAGGCUACGGCUCAACCGUAGUAAGCUUUUGAAACUGCAUGACUAGAGUUCAGGAGAGGUAAGUGGAAUUCCU